UACGUAGGGUCCGAGCGUUGUCCGGAAUUAUUGGGCGUAAAGGGCUCGUAGGCGGUUCGUCACGUCGGGAGUGAAAACUCGGAGCUUAACUCCGAGCCUGCUUCCGAUACGGGCAGACUAGAGGUAGGCAGGGGAGAGCGGAACUCCUGGUGUAGCGGUGGAAUGCGCAGAUAUCAGGAAGAACACCGGUGGCGAAGGCGGCUCUCUGGGCCUUACCUGACGCUGAGGAGCGAAAGCGCGGGUAGCGAACAGG
rnacentral:rRNA from 1 species